GACCACAGAGCUGAUAAAAGUACAACAGGUUCGAUCGGUUUGUGUGUCCAAGGCAGGAGCAACACGAACCGAUUCCGGUCACGAACAUCGCGAUUCCAGA